GAUGAACGCUGACAGAAUGCUUAACACAUGCAAGUCAACUGUGGCGGACGGGUGAGUAACGCGUAAAGAACUUGCCUCACAGAUAGGGACAACAUUUGGAAACGAAUGCUAAUACCUGAUACUGUGAGAGAGCUUUGCGUCCCAUUAGCUAGUUGGAGAGGUAACGGCUCACCAAGGCGAGGAUGGGUAGCCGGCCUGAGAGGGUGAUCGGCCACAAGGGGACUGGGACAGGGCCAGUACUCCAUCGGGAGGCAGGAGUGGGGAAUAGUGGACAAUGGACCAAAGUCUGAACCAGCAAUUCUGUGUGCACAAUGAAGUUUUCGGAAUGUAAAGUGCUUUCAGUUGGGAAGCAGUACCAACAGAAGAAGUGACGGCUAAAUACGUGCCAGCAGCCGCGGUAAUAC
rnacentral:rRNA from 1 species